rnacentral:rRNA from 1 species
AAUACAUUUUUACAAUACUGUGAACAAACCAGAGUGUAUAAAACAUGUAAUAUAUUAUAAUAUUUAGCAAUGAAUGUUUUAUCAUGGAAUAUUGCUUUUUAAUAUAAUAUCGAUGGAGAUAGUUGGAGUUAAGAGUACUGAUAGGCGAGCGGUGAAAUGCAUUGACCCUAUUAAGACUAACAAAAGCGAAAGCACUUAACUAGAUUAUUCUCUUUGUAUUAUUACAAUGAAGAGCGAAGGUUGGGGGAACAAAGAGGAUCAGAUACCCUCGUAGUCCUAUUUUUACAUCAAACUAUGGGAUUUCAAUCACAAUUAUGUUCUACAAUAUUUUUUAUUAUAUAUAAUUGAGUACUUAAUUGUUUACUCUUAUAUUUAAUAUAAUUAUUUUUAUUAUUCAUUAUAUGUACUUUGAGCUCAUAUAAUUAUAUAGGUGAGAUGUAAGCAUUAUAGGUGAAUAAUAUAUAAGUAAUGUUAUAUUAUUAUGAUCCUUAUUUAUAAAAAUGUAAUGUGAUG